CCGUUCGGGACAUCACUAAUAGUCAUGUAUAGUUCAACUGUGAAAACACGGCAAUAAUUGGUUGCUUUCACAAGAUAGAACUGAAAUGAAGCUGCCAGGACCUAUGAAGAGAGCUGGUCUCUCUCCUCAACAAUAAAUCAGAUCGGUGAGAAAUCAAAUCCAUCUGGAGAAUUCUUCAGUCAAUAUUUCUGGAUCAGCACUAUAUGAAAGGGGCUCAGUGAGAGCUGGGAUUAUGCAUGUUGUGAUUUUAUUCAUUGCUGUUUAUUUAUAUCUCUGAAGAAGUCCAUCUCUAAUGGACGAAACGUGUUAGAUAUUUUACAUUUUUUACAUUGAAUUUUUAGAUAUCGGGUGAUUUGUGCCUAAUAAAAUAUACCCAUUUUUUUAUCUAAUCCAGAGUUCCUGUGCCUGCUGCAUAUCCAUCUUGUGAGUGCAACCAAUUAUUGCCUUGUUUUCACAGUUAAACAAUACAUAAUGAUAUAUAGUUAAUCUUCUGUAUUUUAGAUCUAGCUGUAGC